UCUUAAUAGUUGCCAAUUUUAAACAUUCGGAAAUUUACCCCAAAUUCAUUAUCUUCUCCCAUUCAUCGUGUCAUGUAAUCCUCAAUCAACCACCACGGGCAUCGGCAUCGGCACCGGCACCACCGCCGGUGAUAAUUCCUACAUACCACCACCUCAAAAACCCUUCGACAACCCUCUUCCUCCACCAUCACUUCCCGAUUUCUCUCCCCUUCACCUCUUCAACUUGCUGCUUCCAUGUCUGAAAUCAAGAUCAAUAAGCCUGAUCCUAGGCCCAUGCCCAAGCCCAAGCCCGUUCUUGAGGAGGAGGAUGAUGAAGAAUUAGAGAAUGAAGGCUCUUUGAGGAAAAGAAGUAAUAGAAACGUUGGUGUUGGUGGGGGUGUGGAUAGCGUUGGUGCUGGAGGCGUGAAUAGCAGUAUAAGAUUAGAGGAUGAAGAAGAUGAAGCUCCACCACCUUUGCUGCGUUGGUACUUUCAUUGCUCAUGAGGUUUCAAAGAUGCUUGAGGCUACAAGAUUGCAUAUCACUCCAAUUUUGCUGAUAAGUGAUAAUAGAGUUUUGGUUUUCCUUUGGUGGUGUGGUUGUGAUUGCUGUGGUUUUCUCCGUUCACACUUCUUCAGCUCUCCUACUUCACUUUGUCAAGGUAAAGGUUUUGUUUUCCUCUAAAAUUUAUUCAUUUGAAGCUUUGGUUAUCGGUUUAGAAAGUAUCAGAAAGUUACUUGGUAACUGUGCUAACUGCUGAUAGAUUUUGCUUUGGUUGUUAACAGUUUUUAUGUUCAGGUUUUUUUUUGUAAGGAUUUUCAUAUACCAUUUAUAGUCAUGGUUCAAAUAAACUCCUAAUAAUUUAGGAAAUAGUUAUGUGUUGUUACUUAGUGCAUUAGAAUGACUGGUCCGAAGCAUUUUCAACCAUCAAUGAAGGAGCUACUGAUGGAGUUUAGAGUUGAGGUAAGCUUGAACCAAGUUAAAUAUGUUUGAAUGUAAUUUGAUGCCUUCAAAGAAUGAGCCGAUUGAUGUGGAAUCUAUUGUGGAGGAUAUUAAGGUGUCAUGGAGGUGGUGUUUGACUAGACUAGAAAUUCUGACUUGCUUGUAUCAUGAAUGGAGUUGGAAUCCGAAUGAGUGCCUGUUGAGGCAACAUUUUGCGUGAGAGUUAAGCUCUGUUGAGGGUGGCUUUAUCUUGUUUCGAUCCUUAACAAUAGGUGUUGUGGCUGUGGUAGUUGCUGGGAUUUUUUGUCUCGGGUGUGGGGUUUUUUCUCUCUCACUUUUGUGCUGCUGGUAUGUGCUGCUGCGGUCAACUGUGGCAGCAGCUGCUGUUAUUUUAGGACAGCAGCGGUUGGUGUUUUGCCAGGAACCUCCGACUGUUCGUACCUUGGUGUUGAUUGUGAGGUAGUGGUAUGCGUAAAUGACUGGUGCACUGGAGGAUAAGAGAAAACAGUUUUUGCAGGCAACACCUGGGAUUCAAAAAUGCUUCCGUGGUCUUCAAUCCCGCAGUUAUUUCUGUGAACUUAAGAAUGGAGUGACAACAUUAUAAUCAUGUACUGCUAGUAGCAAUAUUAGUUUCAAUUUUAGCAAAACUAUCAAUUGAUUGUAGGCAUUAUGAUAUUUUUCUUCAUUGAAAAGAAGAUUUCUAAUGUAAUUAUCAUAAAUAUUGCUUGAAAUAGAGAGUCCUCUGCUGUUUGGCCUCUAGUUGAAAAAUAAAUUUGAGGAUCUUAUUGCCACUCAUUCAUUGUGAAAAUUCUAUACCUAGGUUGUAGGCUAAAAUCAUUAAAUUCUUGUCA